UCUCCGUAGGUGAACCUGCGGAGGGAUCAUUACAGAGUUCAUGCCCUACCGGGUAGAUCUCCCACCCUAUGUUAUUAUUACAUUGUUGCUUUGGCGGGCCGUUAGGCUCCGGCCCGACUACCGGCCCCGGCUGGUAAGCGCCCGCCAGAGGACCCAAAACCCUGAAUAUUAGUGUCGUCUGAGUACUACAUAAUAGUUAAAACUUUCAACAACGGAUCUCUUGGUUCUG
rnacentral:misc_RNA from 1 species